GCGCAUGUGGCGUAAUUGGUAGCCGCGUUAGACUUAGGAUCUAAUGUCGAAAGGCGUGCAGGUUCGAGUCCUGUCAUGCGCA
rnacentral:tRNA from 1 species